GAAGAUUAUAAAUUAAUUUAAAACUUUUAACAUAUACAACAUAAUUCAUCAAAAAACUUCCAAAUAUAGAUUCACGGGUGUAUUUGUGUAACUUUGACAGGGGGCAAUGUUAUUUAUACAAUAAUGAUCGUGGUAGUGUGUCACAUGAUUCUUGGGAGGCCUGUAUAAUUGAUAUUCCCAUUGUUUAUCCAAAGAUGUUGGUAAUGGAUAAUUAGUGCUGACCAAAAGUGACUGAGGCAUAUAAAAUGGAUUAGAUCUCUAAUUAUUUCAUGGUAUUAUCAGAUUUUAAAUUAGACUAGACACAAUUUAAUGUUAUGAAUAUCUAGUUUUGCAAAUAAGUGGUGCAAAUAAUAUGCAUCCCACAGUUUCAUGGCACCUGUAUUAAUGUGGUGACCCGGUGGACUAUAAACAUAAUAACCAUGUGUAGCUGUAGCCCGUUGUUGUUCAUGUAAUGUUGAUUGGAUGCAAUAAUGUGCAGGGAUCAAAAGCAAGAAGGAAAAAUGGGGCUGACAUUCACAAAGCUGUUUAGCAGGCUUUUUGCUAAGAAGGAGAUGCGUAUUCUGAUGGUUGGUCUGGAUGCUGCUGGUAAGACCACCAUUCUGUACAAGCUCAAGCUUGGAGAGAUUGUCACUACCAUUCCUACAAUNNUUUUUUUUUUUUUUUUGUAUA
rnacentral:lncRNA from 1 species